AGUGAUUCUCCUGCCUCAGCCUCUCAAGUAGCUGGGAUUACAGGCAUGUGCCACCACACCCAGCUAAUUUUUUUGUAUUUUUAGUAGAAACAGGGUUUCACCAUGUUGGCCAGGCUGGUCUCAAACUCCUGACCUCAGGUGAUCCACCUGCCCCAGCCUCCAAAAGUGCUGGGAUUACAGGCAUGAGCCACCUUGCCCAGCCUUUCCUAGAAUGUUUUAUGCUGAAAUAUGACAGAAAUGAACCCAGGGACAGGGCUCACAGCCCUUCUGCACUGCGCAUAGAACUCACUCUUCACCACUUGCUCCUGUGAGGGACAAAAAAGAGCACAGCCAAAGGAAAUGUAUUCCAAUCCCCAGGCCACCUCAGAUUAGCUGUGACUUGAGGCUCAUCCCUUCGCCUUCUGGACCCUGCUUUCCUCAUCUGUAAAGUAGGAACAAGCAGAUAGUGCAACGUCUAAGAUCCAGGAGGAUGAAAUAGGGUAAUGUACAGAUAAGCUGAAAAUGUUUGUGAUGAGUGAAUGUGCCUCCAGUGGAAGAGCCUGUAUCCAGGCAUGGAUAUGUCUGAAUCUCACAGAUGGGUCCACAUCUGAUGGUGUCAGAUCUCUCCAGAAACCACCUCUACUCAAUUCAGCAAAUGUGCUGCCCCAGGUCAUGUUCAGGUCUCUGGAGCCUUGUCACUGAGGGGCUUGCAUCUGGUGGGAGAGACUCAGGGCAACAGCAGACUGAAGCCAGGGACUGAGAGAUGACCAAGGGGCAGUAGGAGCACAGGAUAUGGGGCAUCUGUCAUUUCUCCCUCCCUGGGGUCUCAGGCUCACUAAGGCCCGAGAUUGGGCAGGGCAGGCAGAGGCCAUGGUCCUCAUGCCUACAGAACAGCUCUGCAGAAGAGCCAUGUCACUUUUGGGGAGGCUUGGGGCAGGAAGUUUCACAGGUGGGGAUAUGAGAGCCUGGAAGUCACUGUGACCUGCCCAAGAUCUCCCAGGAAGACAGAACUGGAGAACCUAGAACUGGGCCUCCAGAAGCCCUGGCCAGCCCCUUUGCAGAAUCUGAAUCCAGUUUUUAGAAAAGCGGGAAUCAGAGGCCUAGGUUCUUAUCCCAGCUCUGCUCUGUGACUCGAGGGAGCUGCCCCAUCUCUGGGCCUCAGUUUUUAUACCCAUGAGUGCAGGCCACUCCAGAUUUGACCUAGGCACCCAAAUUCAGGCAUGCAGCCCCUGAGCACCAGAGUCCUGAAAACCUGGGCACUGACUGCUGAGAGCCUGGAGGAGCUGUCAACGUCUAUUUUCACCCCUCUGCUGAAUGGGACUGAAGAGGCUGAGGGAGGAACAGCCUUCCUGCUGUCAUGCCCCUCUGAACUCCUCUGCUCAGUCUGUGAGCUCCUCUUCCUCCUGCCUACUUCAUUCCCGGGAACUCCUCGGCCUGCUUCUGGCCUUAUGGACUUGUUCCUCCAGGAAGCACCCCCUCCUCCUGGGAGGGGGACCUCCAAGCAAGUUAAGGUGAACGUGUGCUGAGAGAGGCAACUCCACCCAACGGCAGCAGCGUGUGUGCCUGAGGUCACCAAGAAACCAGACAGAAAACACCAUUGGGGGAUACCACUGGGGAAUUGGAGGGCCUUGAGAGGUUUCACCCCCAAAUGCCUAUGAAUCUCAGAGCCACUCCCAGAGAGCAGGUGAGGUCCCUUGUGCCCUGGCCUGGGGCUCCUGGCUGGUGGGGAGGGGAGGUGGGGCUGGGGCUCACAGUAGGCACGGCCGAGGUCCCACUCCUUCACUGUCCGGUCGCGGCUCCCAGUCACUGCCUGGUGCCUCGUUAGCUUGAAUUUGGCAGCUGUCACCUUAUCCUUGUGUCCAGACAGUGUCUCCUGUACCCCGGCCCCAGGUACGGAUCAAGAGUUUGGCCAAGACCCCAUAACAGGCCCCCUAGUCCUGAGGUAUGACCUCUGACCCCCAGGCAGCCUCCCCAGUCAGGCCUCACCUUGGACUGUGCCUCCCCCACCUUCCAGAGCUGGGCAGCCUGGUUGUAAGUUGCUGCUAAAACCUGGUAGCCCUGGAGAAAUGGGAGAGGAAGUGAGAGGUGCUAAGCCGGAGGCAACAUCGUUCGGGCCACAGAAUGAGGCCAGGGGCUGCCCCAGAGCUUCCCACGGCCCAGGUCACCAAGGCAGGCAGAGGAGCCUCCGGCCCAGGGAGAGCCUGGUUCUAGGGUAUCCAUGCUGCGCCCUCAGGUCCUACAGCCCCCACCUGCCCAGUGUGGAGAUCAGAGGGGGCACAAUCCCAUGCCACUGGGGCAAAGUUCCUUACCGAGGGGUCAAAGUCCACACUGGUGAUGCUGCCACCAGCUCCCUCCAGGGUCUGGUUGGCUUCCAGGCGACCUGGGAGAACCAGGAGAAGGGACAGUUGAAAUGAGGUCUUAACCUCACAAAAUGGAGGAAUUGGGAUUGAGAGCGGAAGAUCAGUUCCUGCUCCACCCCCCCGACACACCCCCAGGUUAGAAGACAGAAUCGCUGGGUCUGUUCUGCGGGCCUGGGCUGGAGACUACACCUCCCCUAACUGCUGGCAGUGGGUCCCAGGGACAGCUAGUCAUUUCACAGACCAGGCUAGAGAGGACCAGAGAGAAGGGACUACGCAGAGCACGCAGCAAGCCAGGAUCAGGCCAGCCAGAAACUUGCCUUUUCUAGGAAGCCCCCAGGAGCCAGCUCUGACUCCCCAGGACACCCCCUCUCCAGAGCACAGAGCUUGGGACAAGGCCAACAGUUCAUACUUGUCUCUUACCUGAGUUCUGAGAGCUCAAGUGAUGCCAGAAGAGGGUCACCUGGUAGACUGAGGGACCUGCUCUUCAAGGGCCUGUCCCUGUAGGACCUCAUGAUAGGGGACCCCCACCAACCCCCAUCAGGGACCAUCUGAACUCAGCCCUCCCCAUUCUGCAAAUCUGGACCCUAGGAGCCAGGAGGCUCCACCCUUCUUCCGAACAGUGAACCCAGAGUCUCACUCUUUCCAAGGCAUUGUCUACACUGCCCACAGAAUAUUCCAGAUGGAGAAACACAAAGAGAUCCAAGACCUCUGCCCACCAAGGAGUGAGCUGAGGAGUGGGUCUGGAGAGAAGCACCGAGUUGGCCUGCAGGGGAGGGCUCCUUACUUCCAACAACAUUCCAGAGGUGGAUCAGGCGGUCAGCCCCUCCAGUGGCCAGGAGGCUGCUGUUGGGGCCAAAACGAACAGCAUUGACCUCAGAGAGGUGGGCAUCCUGUGGGGAAAGGGGAGGUUGGUGCCCCGGCCCUCCCCGCGCAUGUCUCUGUGAGUGCUCACAGGCCCUCUCACCAGUGCCUGUGCAGACACAGCCUGCUGCAGACGUGGUAUCCCCCUUUCCCAGUUUCUCUGUCCACACUUUGAGUUUCAAACCCGGCCCACCAGGUGUUCUCACCUCUGCCUGGACCCCUGCAGCAGCCUCCAUGCUAUGCUACUCUACUCUCCUGCCUGGCCUCCCGGCCUCCCGGCCUCCCAGCCUCCUCUCUCUCCCUCCCCGGCUCAUGCCCACAUCAUAACAUGCUUGAGUGGCUCCCACCACAGGCUGUGGGAGGCAGCCUCCUGCUCUUGCUGAGGAGCCCAGCCUUGCUUCCCUGGACUCCUGGGACCACCCCUGGUGCCGAGACCACCCCUGUGCCUGCACUCCCUCACCACUGCCCCACCCAUGUGGCUCAGCUCCUCCCUUACCAGCAUAUCCUGAGCCCGGGUAGGAAGUCGGGCGGCCACACACACAGGGAUGAUCUGGUAUCGCUGCUCAGGGGCUCCCCCAAUUGAGUGACCUCUCCUCUUCUUAAAACUAGGGUAAGGUGGGUUGGGGUCAGGAGGGCAUUCAGCAAGGCCUUCUCAGGUGGGAGCCUCCAGCUCCCCUGAGGCAUCAACCAUAGGAAGCAGACAUGGCAGGCGGCAGAACAUAGCCCCAGGGAGCAGCGAGCGCAUUCCCCAACCCAGCCUCAACCCCAGGGGUUGGUGUGGAGACGGGGUGGGGAGCACACAGAGGCAGACACAGGAGCAGGGUAGGGUUGGUGGGUGCAAAGAAACCGCAGGGCUGGGGUUUCAAUCCCAGUCUUGCCACUGCUUGGCUCUGUGACUCUGAAUGAGUCCCUGACAUUUUAGAGCAUUUUUCCCAAUUGAGUAGGAGCUCCUGCCCUGCCUGAGGCUGGAGCUCUUGGUCCCCUGUGAUGACCUUGGAUGAAGACAGACCCUUGUGAGGACAGAACCUGGAAGACAGCUGAACCGGGGCCGGGGCUGAGGCCAUUCACCUGGCUCCUGUCUCCAAGGCCCAACAGACUCACAGGCAGACAGCUGCGCAUCACAGGGAUGGACAGGUCGAGGCACAGACAGACCAAGCCUGGGCUGGGGAGCCCAACACACACGUGGGUGCACACACAGGCACACACACUUACUCCAGAAGCCCCUUCACCACAUCCACACAGUGGAACAGCGUCAGGGAGGUGGCUGAGGCAGACCUGAGACAAAACCGAGAGAGAUGAGCUAAGGGACUGGCUGGUGUGUGUACAAAUGGCUGUCCAUCAUCUCCACACUUUGCCAGAGACCUGGAGGCUUGUAACCUCUCAAGUCUGGGAUAACAACUUGACUUUUCUCCAAGACCAGGAUACUAGGGUGACCCAGACCAGUCCCAGGAAGGUCGGGGCAGCAAUGGAUUUGGUAAUGAAAGUCUCCCAAGGUCUCCCUCAUGAUGGGAAGAACUGCCUUACCCUACAAGUACCCACCAACAAAAGUUCCUGGGAAGCUGAGCUGGGGCCUACAGGGAGGAGAGACACUGAAGAUUCCCCCAGGCUGGGGAUGGGAGGAGGGGGAAGCCUAGGCUCGCUGGGUAACCUCAGCAAUGCCCAGGAGAGGGUGUGUCCUGCAAUGACUUGGCCCACAAGGGCUCCCAAGGACUUUGGGGACUGGUAUCUCAUGCCCCUCCCCACGGUUUCUUCACUGUCCCAAGGCCUGGACAACGGGGACCUGCAAGGAAAGACUGAGAAGAGGUGUUAGGCUGGAGAUUGGGGCCCGGAGGGGGCAGCCUCAAUGACAGGCAAAUCAAGAAGGAUAGAGGAGACCCUGCGGAGAGACACCCAAGGUCUGAAGCCCCAAUCAGGUCCCACAAGUGUGAGCACACAUCUACACAUGCUCAUAUAUUCACACACACAGACGGGCUCAGUCAAGCUUGUACACACCUGUGGCCUCAUGUCCCUGCGGAUGCACAUGCUUGCACACGUAUGGCUGCGCACACAUGCCUGGCAUGACUGGGCUCUGGGCUUCGCCCACAGGUUCUCUCCUGGUGACAGCUAUUCACAAGCCUGACACCCCACCCCCAGAGCUCUGAUCCCAAGAAGGAGGGAAAGGGUUGAGGGUAGGGGUUGGGGGAGUGAGAUGGAACUGACCCCAAGUGUCUCCAGACAAUGGAGGUCAGACUAGCCCUGGGAGAUCUGAGCUUUCCGGCCUCUCCUCAAGCCCCCUCCCAACCCAAGAGCUGACUCCAAGGUCCAAGAGGAAGACCCUGGCAGCCUCUGGGGUGGGGCUCAGCUCAGAGCUCUGAGACCGUCACCUGGGUCCUCACCUGAAGGGCCUCUUCCACUUCUCACAAGCUUCCUUCUCCAGGGGUUCUGGCUCAGGGGCCAGAGCCAGAGUCUCGGUUCUCUCCCUCAUCCCAUCGCCUAGGGUGUCCGGGCCCCUAGGAGAGGUAAUGAAGCUCAGAAAGGCCAAGGGACCAAGCCAGCCCCUCCCGACCCCAGCACAGGACACGUUGAAGACAGGAAUUCCCAGUGAUGAGGGUUCUGUGUGGGUACACGUGCAGCGGUCACGCAUGCAGGCUCCUAAGACCACUCGGUCCUCUGCAAGUGUCCCGUGGGCCCCGCCUACUUGGCGCCUCAGGACGGGGCUGUGCACAAGUACAGUCGGCAGCCUGGGUCGCCGCAGGCAGGCGGGUGCGGGAGGCAGAACACAAGGGUCGGACCGGCCCAUCCCCACUCUUACUCGCUGAUGCUCACGGUCCGCUUGGCAGCCUUCUUCAGCUCCUGGGACACCCGCGCCUGCUUGGCCCUUGUUGGGUAAAAAGCAUCCUGAGACCCUGGCGCGGCGCCUCGCACGCAGGCGGGGCUCGACCCGGUCCCUUCCUCCAGGGGGCGGCUGCCGCCCCGCUCCCUUCCAGACACCAGCGAGGCCCGACUCCUCCCUGAAGGGGCGGGGCCUUUCCUCAGAAGGGGCGGGGCCUACUCCCUCACCGCUCCCGGCGCUCGUUGCGCAGGUUGCGCUCGGCUGCGGCGCGCGCCUUGCGCUGCACGAGCCUCUCCAGCAGGUCGCGCGCCUCCUCCUGGAGCCUGCGCAGUGCCGCCUCCCGGAGCCCGACGUGCGCGCGCAGCGCCUCGUAGGCUGCCCGCUGCACCGCGUUCUGCGCCCGCCACGCCUCCACCUGCUGGGCCUUCUGCGCCCGCGCCUCUCGCAGCUGCGCCACGCGGGCCUCCAGGGCCGCCAGCCUGGAGGAUGGAAAGAGCGGAUAGCGGGUCCCAAGCCUCCCCCGUCACUGCCCAGUGGGAAUCUGCCUCGGAGCAGAGAUAGACCUGCCCAUGCCAAACGCGGCUAGCCGGGUGGCUAAGCCAGGUCUCCACCAAGCCUUCGCCCUCAGAGCCCAGCCGUUCGGUCCUCUGGCACCAACCGAUGGGCUCGGGGGGACGUAGGGAAAGCCCUCGGCCCGCGCCAUUCCCCCCGCCUCCCGCAUAGUUGGCCCCGGGCCUCCCUGAGGUGGGCACGGUCCCUCCCGCCCCCGCCCGCGCCUCACCUGCUUUGCCUCUGCUGCAGCUCCGACUCCAGGGUGCCCAGGGCCGCGCUCUUCUCCACCACCUGGUAGGCCAUCUGGGGGCGGACAGGUGGGCACGGCAGCGCUGAGGCCCCUCCAGGCCUCCAGUCCCUCCCGGGCCGAAGGCGCUAAGGGACAGUCCGCUGCUCCCCUGCCCGCCCCCUUCCUGAAAAGCAAGCUGAGCCCCACACAGGUUUGGGACCUUGCACAGGGACGCGCUGCUGCUUGUGGAGCAGUGGAAGGCCCUUGGGCUCUGGAGUCAGCCCUGAGUCCCAAUCCUCGCAGUGCUGCUUCAUUUCUCUGCGACCCUACUAGGAACCUCUCUGGCAAGAGCAACCGGCUCCACUGCCUCGCCUGAAGAGUGGGAAGCCAGCGCUCGGCUCCCAGCGCCAUGCAGAACCACUGCGAGGACUCCUAGCGCAGAGGCUGCCAAAUGCCCAUCCGGCCCUCGGGCGCCAUGAUGUUCCCAGCAGGCUACACGCUCCUUCCAUCCUCACCACACCGGGAGGCUGGUACUGCCACUCUCACUUCACAGACAAGGACACCGACAGAGAGGUUUAAGUGUCUUGCCCAAAGUCACACAGCUAAGAGAUUUGGGCCCAAGCCACCUAACUGCAUCACCCUCCAGGCUGGUCAGGGGAAUGUGAGUUCUGUUCCCCACCCCUCCCUGCUGGCUUCCUGGCCUCACCCAACCCAGGCCUGCCCAAGCACAGGUCUCAGCAGCGAGAAUCCCUGCGCAGAGGCACACAAGGCUAAGAUCAGGCAUGGAUUCGGGGAGCCAGGGCCCAGACUCAAUAUGGGAACAGCCCUGGCAGCCCAGGAGAGGGGGUGAGGGUCAUUUCAUCUGCACCCCCGCCUCACUCGUUAUGCCUUCAACCCAGAGCCAAGCAGGGUCGGUGGGAGAGACGGACCCCAGGCAAGGCAGCUCCCACCAGUGUGACACGAGAACAUCAGGGCCAGAGGCGCCUCUGGCCCAGGCCAAGGCUGGGGGCUCUUGUUGCUAAUCUGUUCCUGUGUUCUCACGUGGGCCUGGUGAGGACAGACUGAGGAGCAAGGUUGGCGCUGCCACCUGCACUGACAUGACGCCCUAUGUGAGUGAGUCUGCGGAGAAGGAAUCUGCACAUGCGGGUUGGGGCACCUUUAUUCAUAGUUGGCCACAUUUAUAACAUAAUUCUUUUCACCACUGAGCAAUCUGAUCACCACCUCCACUUUCUCACCUGUCACUUGCUUUCAUUUAUGUUGUGUUGUACCAUUCAAAAUUCAAGUAGUAGAGGUGGAAAACAGAUUAGUACUUGCCAGGGGUUAGGGAUGGUUGGGGGGAGAGGGGUGAAUGUGACUAAAAAGGGGUAGCAAGAAAGAGAUCUUUGUAGUGGUGAAACAGUGCCAUAUCUUGACGGUUACACAAAUCUACACGUGAUAAAAUGACAAAGGACAUAUACACACUUCAUACCAAUCCCAGUUUCCUGGUUGUGGGUACUAUAGUUAUGUAAGAUGUAGCCAGUAGGAGAUGCUGGGGGAAGGGGAUGCAGGAACUCUGGACUAUCCUUGCAACUUCCUGUGAAUCUAUAAUUAUUUUAAAAUAAAAAGUUAAUAAUAAUGAUAAA